ensembl:rRNA 5S_rRNA 5S ribosomal RNA
GUCUACAGCCAAAACACUUGAUCUUACGUGAGCUUGGAAGCUAAGCAGAAGCUGGGGACAGUUAAUACUUGAAUGGGAGAUUUUCUGGGAAUAUGGUGUGUUGUAGGCU